rnacentral:misc_RNA from 1 species
AACCUAGCACACCUGCGGUGUGUACCUGCGGAAGGAUCAUUACAGAGUUGCAAAACUCCCUAAACCAUUGUGAACGUUACCUAAACCGUUGCUUCGGCGGGCGGCGCGCCCUCGCGCGCGCCCCUGGGCCCCACCGCGGGCGCCCGCCGGAGGUCACCAAACUCUUGAUAUUAAUUGGCCUCUCUGAGUCUUCUGUACUGAAUAAGUCAAAACUUUUAACAAUGGAUCUCAGAUCGGAAG